rnacentral:rRNA from 1 species
UACGGGGGGGGCAAGCGUUGUUCGGAAUCACUGGGCGUAAAGCGCACGUAGGCGGCUUUCUAAGUCAGGGGUGAAAUCCUGGAGCUCAACUCCAGAACUGCCUUUGAUACUGGGGAGCUCGAGUCCGGAAGAGGUGAGUGGAACUCCGAGUGUAGAGGUGAAAUUCGUAGAUAUUCGGAAGAACACCAGUGGCGAAGGCGGCAUCCUGGACCGGUAUUGACGCUGAGGCGCGAAAGCUAGGGGAGCAAACGGG